AAUUGUGAUUUCCUCGGGGAAGCUUCCCAGGCCCCUCAGCCCACGGAGGCCUUCCCAGCACCUUGACCGCACCACAAAACCAGGCGGCGGAUGGGCCGAGGACUGCUUUGGGUCUCCUGUCACACUGACUUCCAGGGAAGGGCUGUGUCUCUAGCAGCUGGCGAGUCAGAGGACACUCGGGGCGAGCCGUUCAGGACUCUCUGUCCGCCUGCAGCCCCCGCCUUCCCCGGUACCUCCGCCGAGAGCCAAGAGGCGUCCAGAGGGGGGCCCAGGCGCACGGUCCCCAGGGAGGGGCCCCGCCCUCAGGCCCAGGCUUCCACAGGGUCAAGCGGUCUCAAGCCGGCGGCUCUCCCUGGUGGAUUCCUGCAGCUGCUUCCAUCCCGGGCCCUGCUGAAGCUGCCUUUGCUGAAAAGAUGUAGGGCACAGCCGCUGGGGUGAUAGUGGGAGACGGAAAGGUUGGCUGAGAGGCCUGAUUCCUUCCACGCAUCACAACCUGAAAAUCACCAAAGGUUUUCCUUGUUGGGGAGGAGUGAAUGGCAGCACCGGAAGCCAAGGCCCCUCACCACCAAGAAGCCAGCAGCUCAUCCCCACCUUCUGGACCAAAGACACGAAGCAGAGGCCAAGCCGAGCCAAGGUCAGGACCUGGGGCCACAGUCAAGGUCGGGGCCUGGGGUCGCGGUCAAGGUCGGGGUCUGGGGUCACGGUCAAGGUCGGGGCCUGGGGUCACGGUCAAGGUCAGAGCCUGGGGCCACAGUGGAUUUCCUCCUGUGGGGAUGUCCUUGACGUCCACAGCUCAGGCCUGAGGGUCUGCCACCGGCUCCAGCAGCUGCCACAGGUGUCCUGACUCACAGGGUGUCUCUGGCUCAGGGCCGGGGCUGUCUGCAACUCCCCUCUCCCCUGAGCCCUCUGAGUGGGGCUCCUCAAGCUCUCAGAGGCUCCGCCAUACCUGGGCUUUCUGGGGGCUGGGUCCUGCCCUGCGACGCCUGCCAGGCUCUUUGUAGACAGUUACUGAUCUCCCAUUGGCUCCGGUUUUGUGGCUCUAAGUGCUUCUGGCCCUCCCUCCACACUCCCUGCCUCUCUGCUGAGUAGUUAAUUCACUAUAAGCACUCCCAGAGGAAGCCUCCAGCCUCUCAGUGAAACUGCAGCGAUGAAUGAGAAUGAUCGGGCACCCAGGUCUGCCUCCAAGUCUCGCGGAUGGCCCAGAGACCGUGCAGUGGGAAGGUUGGCAGCGAGCUGAGGGUUUGAACUCUGGCUGUGCCCCUGCUGCCAGGGGACCUCAGGCAAAUCAUCUUUUUCUCUGGGCCUUGGUUUCCUCAGCUGUGGGGUCAGUGCUGGCCCCGAGUCACUGGGCCGUUGUGAGGAUGGAGAGGGGGUCAUGCAGGCUCCUGGGUCCUCGCUGAAGCCACCCAGGAGUUCUUCUGCACUCUCAGGGGAGCCCUUGUGCUGACAUCUGAGGGUCACGGUUCAGUGGCUUCAGGGUCCAGACAGGCCCGGAGGCAAGGCCAGAUGUGGUGCAGCCAGGGGAGGGGGCAAGCCCUGGGGGCCGUGGGCCAUCGGUUCACAGCACAUCAGGGGCCAGGAAUCCCACUCAGGGUUUAGCCCUAGGCUCCCCCCAGCACCCCCCUCCCAAUCCAGAGGACACUCCCAGCCCUGAGCAGUGAGCUCUGGGCAGGCAUCGGGAGAGGGAGCGCAUCUCGGCUCUUUGUGAGGAAUAACGUCCCGACAGGUCACUGACACAGAAAAGCCCUUUGUCCCAGCCAGCUGGCCGCCUGCUAAUGACAUCCAGCCUGCACCUUCCAGGGCCACCUCUGCAUCCAGAAAGGACGGAGGCGGCUCCAGCUGGGGAGGAACAAGGGCCACAGCUUCCCUGGGGUCAGGGGUGGGGAGGGUGGGUGAAGGCUCCGGACGCUUCUGCACGUUGCCCCAGAGCUGCGGACGGACCUCAGGUGACCGUCAAGACCUGCUGCGGAUCCAGUGACCCCCCCAAGGAGAGUGCCGAGUCCUGGGAAUUCUCUUCCUCCUCCUGCACCUCCAAGUCACCUUGCCCUCUCCCGUGUUCCCCAGCCAGACCCCCAGUAGAGAGGAGACCCCUGCAGUUGUGGAUGUGGCUUUCCCCAGUGUCCACGAGACCCCUGGAGCCUGGCCCCUCUGGGCCUGUAGAAGCUCCCAUGAGAUUCUGAUGCACGGCGAGGGCCUGAGCCCCGGGCCAGCUCUGGGGGGCAGCCCUGGGCUCCCAUGUAGGUUUCAUCACACCACACUGUGGCCCUCACACCCUGCCCUCUGGCUGCCCCUCCUCCCUAGGGCAUGUACCCCGAGCCCACCUCAGCCUCCCCGGGCAUAUCAGGGCCCCACUUUCUGGGGUAUGUGUGAGCCACGGGACCUCGAGUCAGGAGAUCCAGGCCUAGGCCUGAUUCUGCCCCCUCCAGGUUCAGGACCCUGGGCAAGUCCCCCCACCCAUCUUAGCCCAGCCUCCCCACCCAUAAAAUUUGGGUUGCUUGUCCCGGCUCUGAGGCUUUGAGAGCAGGGCUGUCUCUAACCGAGGGAGGGUGCUGCAAACUCCAGAAGGCCCCCGUCCCAGGGAACAGCGGGGGGAACUGUCAGAGAAGCGACCCCUGGACCAGCACCCUGAGUGGGCUUCCUUCUCCCCACCCUGCUGAGACCACCCAAGCCUUGUUAAGAUCAAAGGUUCCCUGGGGAGCCACAUGGGCCAUGCUGGACACUCCCUGCCAGACUUUCCGGAACAAUUCCUGGGGACCCAUGUCCCACAAACACCAGCUGGAAAAGGCAGCAACGUGGGGUCUCCCUCCCCCUCAGCCAAAGUGAACUGUGUCAGCAGGUGUCUCCCAGCUGCUGAGAAUGAGCCAAGGGACCAGGAUGGCCGCCUGGCUCCUGCAAGUGGAGAGGGUCUUGCUGGGGCCUGAACUGGCUGAGGUCUUGCAGCAGCUUCUUGACGCCCCAUUCCCCAAACCCGGGCCCCCAAUGCCCCCGCCCCACCCCCGGGAGAAGAGCCCAGCCGUGCCAGAGGGUGGAGAGUUCUGUCAACCAGCGCUGUUUCCUUAUCAACAAGGACAUGUCUACAAAUAGCUCAUCACGUCUCCAAUCCAGAAGUGCUGUGUCGUUUCAAAAAUGAGCGGAGCCAACGCAGCCGCCAGCCCGGCCUCGGCUACCUGGGCAAGGCUGCCGGCUCAUGAAUAUUCAUGGCUCCGAUGGCGUCUCCGAGCCUCCUAACCAUCCGGAAUUAAACCAAUGAGCUUCCCCUC
rnacentral:antisense_RNA from 1 species